rnacentral:lncRNA from 1 species
ACGCAACCGAGCGCGCCAAGCAUGGCCCAACGACAGUGGAUCACCUCAAGCUCGCGGUUCUUGGCAAAGGUCUCGGGGUCCGCUGAGAGCCCGGCGGUGUCCCACCCAUAGUCGCCGGGAAACUCACCGGUUAGGUAACUCGGGGGCUCGCCAGAGAGCGGGCCGAGGUACAGCACACGGUCGGAGCCGUACCACGGGCUGCUCGAGGAGAUUGGCUUGGCCUUGGCGGCGGUCUUGCGCAUGGUGCCCCGGCCUCACCGAAGAGAGUCGAUGACGGCAUGUUCUUCACCGUCUUGCCAGCGAAGGCCGAAGAAGAGAGAGACAUGGUAGUGGCUGCCAUUGCGCUAGCUCUUAAAACGGUGGUGGUCGAACUCUAUGCUUCUAAUAGUAUUCUGUGAGUGUGAAGGACUGAAGAUGGAUUCAGAAGGGAGGAGGAGGGAGCUACUUAAAGAAGUGAGAAGAGAAGACAGAGGGAAUUGAUCUGUGCUGGCAAGAGAGACACAGCCUGAGAAAUCUGAUGCCACCAUCUCAUUGGUGCAGCGGCCAUCCGGGUACAGUUGGCGCAGGGACAUCCUCAAGGGGAUGGGAUAUAGUCGUGGGUAGGGCUUGGGGAUUCUGCAUGUGCACUACAAUUUGUUGUACAACUAAUAAGUUAUUGAGUUUAAUCAGUUAUUGAGGAUUCUGCAUGUGCACUUACAAUUUGUUGUACAACUAAUAAGUGUUAAUUUGCUUCCUCCGAAGGUAAUAGUCAAAAGAAGUUUUUUGUUGGUAAACUGAUAGUAAACAUGCUCGAUCAACAUGUAUUGUCCACAUAUGGAGUUAAAAAUGAAUUAGCCAGUCGUGGGGCCAUAAUUUAGCCUUUGCUCAUGUACAUAGUAACUUUAUAUAAUCCGUGCUUUUAUAGUAUUGACCGUGACGGGGUGAAACCAGAUGGCACGAUCCACCUGUAAGAACAAAAGGAUUCGGGUUAAAAGCUUUAGUGGGAUCAUUAGUGACUGAACUUUUGCUAAAUGGGGUCAAAAAAGAAAUCACACUAAAUGAAACCAAAGCUGUAAGAAACAUAAAUUGAGGGGUCAAAAAAUAGAAUUCACUCUUUUAUGAACGUGUGAGGAAAGAAAUUAUUUCAUAAUUAAUGAAAAUAAAAGUCAGCGGAAUGGGGAACAUUGUUACGCGAGGUUAUUGGGUUUGAGUAAUUUAGAUGAUUGUUUUUAAUCUUUGCUUGUAUAAUAAAAACAUCAUUUUUAUUUUGGCGUGCAGAAAAGAUGACAGAUAGAUCUUGUGAUCACAGAUAUGAUGCUCUAAUUGUUGCCUCUGAGUUUCUGUAUUCUAUAUCCGGGAAGCAGCCCCAUGCGUGCCCUGCAAAAUUAGUAUGACUAAGAUUGUUAUUUUUGUAUAUACUUCCUUGUUAAUUGGGAUCUUUCUUAUCGACCAAAUCACCUAAUCCCAUCAAAAUUCUUUUAUGUCCUUUUCAUUGGCCUGGGUAUUUCUAGAUUUUGUAGUUAGUUCUGGAAUAUCCAUCCCUGAAAAAGGAAUGCGGUACACGUCAUUUUUACGGUAAGUUUGUUCACUUCCACGAGAGUAUGUAUUGCUCUGAUAAAACAUUGGGGGACAUCACAAAGUGUCUACUUCAAAAUCUGACAAUCUUUUGUUCAUAAGAUCCUCGUAAUUAAUUUACAUCAUCAUCGUGGUAGUACAAGUGAAACCAGCUACACACACUUGGUCGCGAGCAUAGUCGAUUUGCAUAUACACAUGUGCCUCUCAUUGACACCUUACUUGCCGGGAACGAAGUUGGUGGCAAAGGCCCACGCGUUGUUGUUGACGGGGUCGGCAAGGUGGUCAGCGAGGUUCUCAAGGGGACCCUUGCCGGUGACGAUGGCCUGAACGAAGAAGCCGAACAUGGAGAACAUGGCGAGGCGGCCGUUCUUGAUCUCCUUCACCUUGAGCUCAGCGAACGCCUCAGGGUCGUCAGCCAAGCCAAGGGGGUCGAAGCUGCCGCCGGGGUAGAGAGGGUCGACGAUCUCACCGAGCGGACCACCAGCAACACGGUACCCCUCGACGGCGCCCAUGAGCACGACCUGGCAAGCCCAGAUGGCGAGGAUGCUCUGGGCAUGGACGAGGCUCGGGUUGCCAAGGUAGUCGAGGCCGCCCUCGCUGAAGAUCUGGGAGCCGGCCUUGAACCAGACGGCCUCGCCAAACUUGACGCCGUUGCGGGCAAGCAGCUCGGGGAAGACGCAACCGAGCGCGCCGAGCAUGGCCCACCUGCAGUGGAUCACCUCCAGCUCCCGGUUCUUGGCGAAGGUCUCGGGGUCAGCCGAGAGCCCGGCGGUGUCCCACCCGUAAUCGCCGGGGAACUCACCGGUCAGGUAGCUCGGGGGUUCGCCGGAGAGCGGGCCGAGGUACAACACGCGGUCGGAGCCGUACCACGGGCUGCCUGAGGAGACCGGCUUGGCCUUGGCAACGGUCUUGCGCAUGGUGAUGCGGGCCUCUCCGAGCGCCGGCAGGUUCUUCACCGCCUUCCCGGCGAAGGUCGAGGAGGAGAGGGCCAUGGUGGCGGUCGCCAUUGAUGUACUGCUGUACCGUGCUCUCCUAAGAGUGUGAGGCUGGCUCUGGUGUGCGUGGAGAUGGUUUGAGAUGGGCA